rnacentral:rRNA from 1 species
CGCGCGGUUCUAUUUCGUUGGUUUCCGGGACCGCCGUAAUGAUUAAUAGGGACAGUCGGGGGCGUCAGUAUUCCGCGGUCAGAGGUGAAAUUCUUGGAUUCGCGGAAGACUAACUACUGCGAAGGCAUUCGCCAAGGAUGUUUUCAUUAAUCAGGAACGAAAGUCGGGGGAUCGAAAACGAUCAGAUACCGUUGUAGUCUCGACCGUAAACUAUGCCGACUAGGGAUCGGGCGAUGUUAUUACUUGACUCGCUCGGCACCUUGCGAGAAAUCAUUAGUGUUUGGGUUCCGGGGGGAGUACAAAGGCAACUUCGAAACUUAAAGAAAUUGACGGAAGGGCACCACAAGGGGUGGAGCCUGCGGCUUAAUUUGACUCAACACGGGGAAACUCACCAGGUCCAGA